rnacentral:tRNA from 1 species
UGGGUUGUAGCUCAAUGGUAGAGUACUUGCCUAGCAUGCAUGAGGCACUGGGUUCAAUCCCCAGCACCCCAU